UAAAAUUUUAAGUUAUUUAAACUAUAAUCCUUCAAAGAUUAAAAAACAAAAAGUAAAUUUUU
rnacentral:tRNA from 1 species